rnacentral:rRNA from 1 species
GACGAACGCUGGCGGCGUGCUUAACACAUGCAAGUCGAACGGAAAGGCCCCUUUGGGGGUACUCGAGUGGCGAACGGGUGAGUAACACGUGAGUAACCUGCCCUUGACUUCGGGAUAACUUCAGGAAACUGGGGCUAAUACCGGAUAGGAAUCCUUGCUGCAUGGUGGGGGUUGGAAAGCUUCGGCGGUUUUGGAUGGACUCGCGGCUUAUCAGCUUGUUGGUGGGGUAGUGGCUUACCAAGGCUUUGACGGGUAGCCGGCCUGAGAGGGCGACCGGCCACAUUGGAACUGAGAUACGGCCCAGACUCCUACGGGAGGCAGCAGUGGGGAAUAUUGCACAAUGGGCGGAGGCCUGAUGCAGCAACGCCGCGUGCGGGAUGACGGCCUUCGGGUUGUAAACCGCUUUCAGCAGGGGCGAAGCUUGUGGUGACGGUACCUGCAGAAGAAGCACCGGCUAACUACGUG